rnacentral:rRNA from 1 species
UACGUAGGGGGCUAGCGUUGUCCGGAUUUAUUGGGCGUAAAGAGCGUGUAGGCGGCCAGGUAGGUCUGGUGUGAAAACUCGAGGCUUAACCUCGAGAUGUCAUCGGAAACCAUCUGGCUAGAGUCCGGAAGAGGAGAAUGGAAUUCCCGGUGUAGCGGUGAAAUGCGCAGAUAUCGGGAAGAACACCCGUGGCGAAGGCGGUUCUCUGGGACGGUACUGACGCUGAGACACGAAGACGUGGGGAGCGAACAGG